GACGAACGCUGGCGGCGUGCCUAAUACAUGCAAGUUGAGCGAUGAAGAUUGGUGCUUGCACCAAUUUGAAGAGCAGCGAACGGGUGAGUAACGCGUGGGGAAUCUGCCUUUGAGCGGGGGACAACAUUUGGAAACGAAUGCUAAUACCGCAUAACAACUUUAAACAUAAGUUUUAAGUUUGAAAGAUGCAAUUGCAUCACUCAAAGAUGAUCCCGCGUUGUAUUAGCUAGUUGGUGAGGUAAAGGCUCACCAAGGCGAUGAUACAUAGCCGACCUGAGAGGGGGAUCGGCCACAUUGGGAAUGAGACACGGCCCAAAAUCCUACGGGAGGGAGCAGUAGGGAAUCUUCGGCAAGGGACGAAAGUCUGACCGAGCAACGCCGCGGGAGGGAAGAAGGGUUUCGGAUCGUAAAACUCUGUUGGUAGAGAAGAACGUUGGUGAGAGUGGAAAGCUCAUCAAGUGACGGUAACUACCCAGAAAGGGACGGCUAACUACGUG
rnacentral:rRNA from 1 species